rnacentral:rRNA from 1 species
UACGUAGGUGACGAGCGUUAUCCGGAAUCACUGGGCGUAAAGCGCACGCAAGCGGUUGGACAAGUCUGGCGUGAAAUCUCCUGGCUUAACUAGGAGCGGUCGCUGGAAACUGUUCGGCUUGAGGCGAUGAGAGGGGUGCAGAAUUCCCGGUGUAGUGGUGGAAUGCGUAGAGAUCGGGAGGAAUACCAGUGGCGAAAGCGGCACCCUGGCGUCGUACUGACGCACAUGUGCGAAAGCGUGGGGAGCGAACGGG